AUGGCUGGGUGUAAAGGUUUGACAAAGAUGAAGUUGAGGAGAAGGAGGAGACAGGUUGCAGUUAGCCGGAAAAUGAAGAAAUUGCAAAGGAUCAUUCCGGGAGGCGACGGUUUGAAGGCGGACGGACUUUUUCUGAGGACGGCGGAGCAUAUCUUGCAGUUGAGGUUGCAACUUAAUGCAUUGCAGGCUCUUACCAAGAUACUCAAUGUCUAG